rnacentral:rRNA from 1 species
GACGAACGCUGGCGGCGUGCUUAACACAUGCAAGUCGAACGAUGAAGCCGGAGCUUGCUCUGGUGAAUUAGUGGCGAACGGGUGAGUAACACGUGAGUAACCUGCCCUUGACUCUGGGAUAACUGCGGGAAACUGUAGCUAAUACCGGAUACGACCCUCGGAGGCAUCUCCUGGGGGUGGAAAGAAUUUCGGUCAAGGAUGGACUCGCGGCCUAUCAGCUAGUUGGUGAGGUAAAGGCUCACCAAGGCGACGACGGGUAGCCGGCCUGAGAGGGUGACCGGCCACACUGGGACUGAGACACGGCCCAGACUCCUACGGGAGGCAGCAGUGGGGAAUAUUGCACAAUGGGCGCAAGCCUGAUGCAGCAACGCCGCGUGAGGGAUGACGGCCUUCGGGUUGUAAGCCUCUUUUAGCAGGGAAGAAGCGAGAGUGACGGUACCUGCAGAAAAAGCACCGGCUAACUACGUGCCAGCCGCCGCGGUAA